CUGCUACCGAGCAGAUACCAACCGACCGCCCUUCAGACAAACGCCUCUCGCCCAGAACACAGUAGAGCUCAAUGUGCUGCUUCUGGAAUAUUCAACAGCUUUAAGAAAACUGCCGACUUCAAAGGCACGGAAACGGGGCGGAAAGGAAGAGGACAAAUGUUUGGGGGCGUUGGGAAUAGAAAGCACGGGCGGUCAGAGCUGUUCAUCCGAAAAGUGACAGCGGCAUCGCACGCUCCCUCGAUGGAACUCAGCUCCACUCAGCCUCCCAGGGGCCGUCAACAAGCACCGCAACGGAAAGACAAGUUGAGGAGAAAUCACUCAACACUGGGUUUCCUUGUUAUUUUUAGUGUGUAAAAAAGAUAAGAUGCUAUUGAAUGUACAAAUCUC
ensembl:lncRNA